rfam:Ictidomys tridecemlineatus contig035889, whole genome shotgun sequence.
GGUGAUAUACCCCAGUGGUAGAGUGCAUGGCUAGCAUGCAUGAGUCUUUGGGUUCAAUCCACAGUACUACUA